rnacentral:rRNA from 1 species
CCUACGGGUGGCAGCAGUGGGGAAUAUUGGACAAUGGGCGAAAGCCUGAUCCAGCCAUGCCGCGUGUGUGAAGAAGGCCUUCGGGUUGUAAAGCACUUUCAGUGGGGAAGAAAGCCUUGGGGCUAAUACCCUCGAGGAAGGACAUCACCCACAGAAGAAGCACCGGCUAACUCCGUGCCAGCAGCCGCGGUAAUACGGAGGGUGCGAGCGUUAAUCGGAAUUACGGGGCGUAAAGCGCGCGUAGGCGGUCUGAUAAGCCGGUUGUGAAAGCCCCGGGCUCAACCUGGGAACGGCAUCCGGAACUGUCAGGCUAGAGUGCAGGAGAGGAAGGUAGAAUUCCCGGUGUAGCGGUGAAAUGCGUAGAGAUCGGGAGGAAUACCAGUGGCGAAGGCGGCCUUCUGGACUGACACUGACGCUGAGGUGCGAAAGCGUGGGUAGCAAACAGGAUUAGAUACCCGAGUAGUC